UACGUAGGAUGCAAGCGUUUUCCGGAUUUAUUGGGUUUAAAGGGAGCGUAGGCGGCCUAUUAAGUUAGUGGUGAAAACGUUCGGCUUAACCGGAUACCCGCCAUUGAUACUGAUAGACUUGAGUGCGACAGAGGGUGUUGGAAUGUGUGGUGUAGCGGUGAAAUGCUUAGAUAUCACGCAGAACACCAAUUGCGAAGGCAGAUGCCUAUGUCGUAACUGACGCUGAGGCCCGAAAGCGUGGGGAGCAAACAGG
rnacentral:rRNA from 1 species